UGGCUCAGUGGUAGAGUGCUUGCCUUGCAUGCAUGAGGCCCUAGGUUCCAUUCCUUG
rnacentral:tRNA from 1 species